UUUUUUUUUUUUUUUUUUUAGGAGGAGUCUUACUCUGUAGCCCAGGCUGCAGCGCAAUGGCGCGAUCUCGGCUCACUGCAACCUCCACCUCCAGGGUUCUAGCGAUUCUCCUGCCUCAGCCUCCUGAGUAGGCUGGAUUACAGGCGCCCGCCACCAAGCCCGGCUAAUUUUUUUUUUUUCAGUAGAGACGGGAUUUCACCAUGUUGGCCAGGCUGGUCUCGAACUCCUGACCUCAAGUGAUCUGCCGCCUCUACCUCCCAAAGUGCUGGCGUGAGCCACCGCGCCCAGCCUAAUUUUAAUUUGAAUUCAUUAGCGACGUUUAAAAAUCCCAGGAUUUCACAUAAAAAUCCAGAUUGCAGACGUCGAAAAAAAAUGUAAAAUGUUAUCUCCCAAUGUCGCAGGCAAAUAAGAUCACAGUCCUGAAUAGCAACCGCGGUCUCUAGUGGAUACGGCUCUCAUCCAUUUCGGUCCAUUUUAUUACCUGGAAGGACCGGUAUUUUCAAUUUCAGUAACUUUUAGAGGAAACUUUUGAAAAAAGGACUGCACACACGCACCUUUUCUUCCUUCUCGUUCUUUAAAAGGAAACAACAGAAACAAUUCAUUCUGCAGGCAAUCUGCGCUAGUCCCACGGAUAGGCGAUUAACAAGAGAUAAAGAGGUGUGGGUACCAGAAGCAGUACUGUUACCCCUUCUGGUUGGCGGGUACCACGUUGAAAGGUCGGGGUACGGGCCCACUGCGACUAGCACAAAGAGUGCUGAACUGAGCUAUGCAAAGUUCUGACGAGAAGGUGGAAUGGUUCUUAAUGAAAAGGAUUAAGGAAUCUAAACCGGUUUCGCUAAAUUAGACACAUCUGUCUAAGCAGCCACAGCUUGUUCGCAGCAGGGGCGGGAAGACAAACCAACGCCCCAGCUCUCUAUUCAGUCACCGGCAACUCAGCUCUGGACUAGACGCACUCUACGAAGAUACCCGGGUUUCCGGAGCAACGGCCCGAGCCCUCCCCCUUUAGCCCCGCCUCCGAGUCUCUUUCCCGCCAAAGGCCGUUAUCGCCGCAGAGCAUGGUGGGACAAGGCUUUAGGCUAGGUUUCACCAAGUCCUUUGAAGGCGCCGAGUUGCUUUCAAAGCUCCUCAUUCCUGGGGAAAUUGACUAUCCUUCAAGACUCGACCUGGAUGACUAGCUCCUUUAACGAGAGUUCUUUAUUUAACUUUUACCAAACGGCUGCUCACUCUAUUCGCAAACCACCCCAAGCGGGGAACGCGGGGGACUUUUUUUCCCCCUUCGUGCGGAGGGUGACGUCGCGCGUGCGUGCGCGUGCGUUGCGCGUAUCCCUCGCAGCACCCGUUGCGCUCCCGCGCGUGCGUGUUGGGAUCGAAUCGCUGUUUCCUUCCGCUUCUCUUCCUCUGUCUCCCCCCCAUAUCCGUGCGCCGAGCUGAUAAAGGCGCCAUUUUGGAGGGGCCGCGGGAGACGUGGUGCCGCUGCGGGCUCGCUCUGCGGUGCGCUAGGCUUGGUGGGAAGGCCUGUUCUCGAGUCCGCGCUUUUCGUCACCGCCAUGUCGGGAGGUGGUGUGAUUCGUGGCCCCGCAGGGAACAACGAUUGCCGCAUCUACGUGGGUAACUUACCUCCAGACAUCCGAACCAAGGACAUUGAGGACGUGUUCUACAAAUACGGCGCUAUCCGCGACAUCGACCUCAAGAAUCGCCGCGGGGGACCGCCCUUCGCCUUCGUUGAGUUCGAGGACCCGCGAGACGCGGAAGACGCGGUGUAUGGUCGCGACGGCUAUGAUUACGAUGGGUACCGUCUGCGGGUGGAGUUUCCUCGAAGCGGCCGUGGAACAGGCCGAGGCGGCGGCGGGGGUGGAGGUGGCGGAGCUCCCCGAGGUCGCUAUGGCCCCCCAUCCAGGCGGUCUGAAAACAGAGUGGUUGUCUCUGGACUGCCUCCAAGUGGAAGUUGGCAGGAUUUAAAGGAUCACAUGCGUGAAGCAGGUGAUGUAUGUUAUGCUGAUGUUUACCGAGAUGGCACUGGUGUCGUGGAGUUUGUACGGAAAGAAGAUAUGACCUAUGCAGUUCGAAAACUGGAUAACACUAAGUUUAGAUCUCAUGAGGGAGAAACUGCCUACAUCCGGGUUAAAGUUGAUGGGCCCAGAAGUCCAAGUUAUGGAAGAUCUCGAUCUCGAAGCCGUAGUCGUAGCAGAAGCCGUAGCAGAAGCAACAGCAGGAGUCGCAGUUACUCCCCAAGGAGAAGCAGAGGAUCACCACGCUAUUCUCCCCGUCAUAGCAGAUCUCGCUCUCGUACAUAAGAUGAUUGGUGACACUUUUUGUAGAACCCAUGUUGUAUACAGUUUUCCUUUAUUCAGUACAAUCUUUUCAUUUUUUAAUUCAAACUGUUUUGUUCAGAAUGGGCUAAAGUGUUGAAUUGCAUUCUUGUAAUAUCCCCUUGCUCCUAACAUCUACAUUCCCCUCGUGUCUUCGAUAAAUUGUAUUUUAAGUGAUGUCAUAGACAGGAUUGUUUAAAUUUAGUUAACUCCAUACUCUUCAGACUGUGAUAUUGUGUAAAUGUCUAUUCUGCCCUGGUUUGUGUGAACUGGGAUGUUGGGGGUGUUUGUGGUUAUCUUACCUGGGGAAGUUCUUAUGUUUAUCUUGCUUUUCAUGUGUCUUUCUGUAGACAUAUCUGAAGAGAUGGAUUAAGAAUGCUUUGGAUUAAGGAUUGUGGAGCACAUUUCAAUCAUUUUAGGAUUGUCAAAAGGAGGAUUGAGGAGGAUCAGAUCAAUAAUGGAGGCAAUGGUUUGGAUUGGAGAGGGCUCACUGGAUCCCAAUCCUUGGAGCUGGAUCAUUGGAUUCAAAUCAUAAUGUGGAUAGGAUAGGGAGGAUGAAUUACCAGGAUUCAUGGAGCGGGAUCAGAUUACCAGGAACAUAGGAGUGGAUUCCUGCCCCAACCAAACCGCAUUCGUGUGGAUUUUUUUAUUCAACUUAAUUGGCUAUUCCAAAGAUUUUUUUUUUUCCUAUUUUUGACGAUUGGAGCCCUUAAGAUGCACGAUGGAAUUGUGUUUUGCGUUUUUUGGUAAAAGGAGCAAAGCGAGGACCUGGAGAUAAACGCUGGAGCAAUCUCCUUGGAAGGAUUCAGCACGAGUAGAUGGUAAACAUUUAAAGGGGAAAGGGGGGGUUUGUUUAAAAUAGUAAAUCAGUAAGUCACUUCUAAAUUUAAAGAAAACAAAAUUGGAGUUGAAGAAUAAGUAGGUUUCCAAUUGGCUAUUGCCGUUUUUCUUUGAAAAAAUAAACAUUUUUUAAAAAACUAUGCAUGGUUGUCCUUUUUCCUCUUCAUGUAAGAUUCUAACUGGGUCUAUCAGUUAAUCUUUAAAUUGUUAAGUAAGAUAAGAUUUUGACUCUUGUAUUAAUGUGUUAGCAAAUUAAAAGUUCUUAAAAGGCACUAUAAUGGUAUUAGCCAUCUUUUAUUGUUAAUUGUAAAAGUCUUCAGGGGAAGGCAAAAGGGGAGAAUAAGGCAUUUGUGUAUGUAACUUGGUAAAUGACGGUGGGGGGUUGGAUCUAGCAUCUGAAAGAUAAGCUUCUCUACUUUGUUAUAAAUUGGUUAAAAAACUGUAGAUGCUGCUUAUUUUCUGGUGGUCAUAGACAACAUAGGCUUUUGUGCAAAGUUGGUUGAUGGCUAGUAAAUUAAUGUUCACUUGGAGAUAGCUUUUGAUAUUUUCAAUGAAACCCAUCUCAAAAAAAGGUAAGUAUUAAAUGUUAACAUCAGCACAGAGGUAUUAGAACUGUUUUUUGUUUUUGAGACAGAGUCUCGCUUUAUUCCCCAGACUGGAGUGCAGUGGUGUAAUCUGGGCUUACUGCAACCUCCACCUCCUGGAUUCGAGUGAUUCUCGUGCCUCAGUCUCCCGAGUAGCUGGGAUUACAAGUGUGUGCCACACUUGCCUGGCUAAUUUUGUAUUUUUAGUAGAGGUGCAGUUUCUUUGUGUUACCCAGGCUGGUCCCAAAACUCCUGGCCUCAAGUGAUCUGCCUGCCUUGGCCUCCCAAAGUGUUAGGAUUACAGGUGUGAGCCACCAUGCUCGGCCUGUAGAACUUUUAACACAAGUCACAUUUCUUUUUUGAAAGGGAAAGUGUGUACAAGAUUAACUGCUGCUUUGGAUGAAUCGUUGCUAAUAAAAAGCUGGGCAUUUAGAAUUUUGCCUUAUAAGCCCUUCUCAACCAUAAGAUUAUUUUGUACCUAAAACUUUGGUGUUCUCUACCAAAGCAGUCGUUAAAAACUUGUAGUCUGCUACUUUUUGUAUUUGUCUACUGACAGCCCCCGAUACUAUUUAGGUUGGGGGAGGGGACCUAAAAUAAGUAACUAGACUUUAACAUUUCCCUCGGGUGCUAAUCAUAGUUGGAAGUUGAAUUUAAGGUGAUUAUUCGGGUGACAAUUAAAAACCUAGGGAAAACCAGAAAUCUUGGUAGUGGAAGAAAUGUGUAAGGUUACCCCAAUCAGAUUUUAAUGAACGUUGUGGAAUGUUGGGAAGAGGGGAUGUUGAAUGCAGAAUUUCACUAAGUAAAGUACUUAGUUUAAAUUUAUUAAGGAUGUAGCUCUUUUUAUGUAAGAAUUUAAUAUAAUGGCCAAAAGGCAGAUUUACUGUUUAAAAUUUGAAUAAUUUUACAUGACAUUCUUGAAGUUCUAAAUUCUGUUUUAUGUGUAGAACAUUUUUAAAAUUCAGAUUAUUAAGGGGAAAAUAAAUGAUUAAUGAUCAUUUUGUAAGGUUAAUGUGAGCUAGACUUAAGCAAACUUUGGUUCAUUUGUGUUCAUUGAAUGUUUUGGAAACCACCAAAAAAUGUAAAUGGCCUUCACUCAAGUUUGAGUGUUUAAAGUUGAAAGAUGUGCUCUACUAAAAGUUACAGUAAUUCUAACUUCACAUUGAAAUGAGACAGCAUUCCUUGUUAUACAGGCUGAAUUUGAAGAUUAGAGAGGACCUCAUGUUUACUUAUGAAAGGUAAAGGGGCAUAGAUUUUGUAGUUAAGAUGACCAGACAGCUAAAAGCUGUGAUGGGAAGUAUGGACUGCUCCUAUUUAUAGUUUCAGAAAAUGGACCUUUAGGUCUCUAUCCAUAUUGGCAAUUAUUAAAGGCACACCCUUUUGAAACUACAAAAGCUGUCUUGGAAUUUCCCCUUCUCCCUAUUUAUGUCCCCUUAGAAUGUUUUAGGGAGCCUAUAAUUAUUUUCUAACCAAGGAAAAACUUAAGUCUCUUUAAGAAGCAAUUAUUUUUCAUAACAUCAGAUUGAAUAACCCACCUUGCUGUUCAGCCCACAUCCUACUGGAAACAAAAGGUAAGAAACCCAUUUUCUGGUUCCUGAUUGUUUGGGUCUGAAUUUUGUUUUUAAAACGAAGCUAAGUUUAAUAUUUUCAAAAAUGCUGUUUGGAAUAUGUGAAUAGAUUCCCCAUAAAAUGGUUUUUCCUGUUUUAUGCUUUAGAAAAUAUUCAGUGCUCACGUCUGCGCAUCAUAGUACUUGCAUUUAAUAUGAUUUAUUGUAGAAUCUCAACUUUUCUUGGUGUUGCCUUUGAAACAUUGUCUUGGUCAUUAGGGCUGGUGUUUUCACAUUUCUGUGGUCAAGGUGAAUUUCUUAUGUGUGCCUUUUUGCUUACUUUGUAUAUGAAUUUUGUAAUUUAAAUUGCAAGUAAGUUAUAUAUAUGUAUUUACCAUAAAUAGUAUUAAAAGAUGAGAAACUGUUAGACUGAAGUUCUGUUGUAACAUAACCACUCUUAUUUCCAUCACAGUAUGAAGAGUGCAAACGCAGAAAACAGAUUACAGUCUCUUAUCCAUUUUUUGAAAUCCAAAAACUAUAUGAAAACGAAAGAUUUUCUGUUGUUGAGCUAAUUAAAUGUGAAACCUGA